rnacentral:rRNA from 1 species
UACGUAGGGACCGAGCGUUGUCCGGAAUCAUUGGGCGUAAAGAGCGUGUAGGCGGCUUGUUAAGUCUUGCGUGAAAUCUCGGGGCUCAACCCCGAGCGGUCGUGAGAAACUGGCAGGCUAGAGUCCGGGAGAGGUGAGUGGAACUCCUAGUGUAGAGGUGAAAUUCGUAGAUAUUCGCAAGAACACCAGUGGCGAAGGCGGCUCACUGGCCCGAUACUGACGCUGAGGCACGAAAGCGUGGGGAGCAAACAGG